rnacentral:rRNA from 1 species
AAUCCCGUGAACCAUCGAGUCUUUGAACGCAAGUUGCGCCCCAAGCCUUCUGGCCGAGGGCACGUCUGCCUGGGUGUCACAAAUCGUCGUCCCCAUCCUUUGCGGAUAAGGGACGGAAGUUGGUCUCCCGUGUGUUACCGCACGCGGUUGGCCUAAAUCCGAG